AUUGAACGCUGGCGGCAGGCCUAACACAUGCAAGUCGAACGAGUGGCGGAAGGGUGAGUAAUGUAUGGGACACUGCCUGAUGGAGGGGGAUCACUACUGGAAACGAUAGCUAAUACCGCAUACCAUCGGAUGUGCCCAGUUGGGUUUAGCUAGUAGGUGGGGUAACGGCUUACCUAGGCGACGAUCUCUACCUGGUCUGAGAGGAUGACCAGCCACACUGGAACUGAGACACGGUCCAGACUCCUACGGGAGGCAGCAGUGGGGAAUAUUGCACAAUGGGCGCAAGCCUGAUGCAGCCAUGCCGCGUGUAUGAAGAAGGCCUUCGGGUUGUAAAGUACUUUCAGCUGGGAGGCGUUACCCGCAGAAGAAGCACCGGCUAACUCCGUGCCAGCAGCCGCGGUAAUUC
rnacentral:rRNA from 1 species